GACAGAGGGUGCAAACGUUGCUCGGAAUCACUGGGCGUAAAGGGCGUGUAGGCGGGUAGGCAAGUCGGGCGUGAAAUCCCUGAGCUCAACUCAGGAACUGCACUCGAAACUGCUUAUCUUGAGUGCCGGAGAGGAAAGCGGGAAUACCUGGUGUAGAGGUGAAAUUCGUAGAUAUCAGGUGGAACACCAGUGGCGAAGGCGGCUUUCUGGACGGUAACUGACGCUGAGACGCGAAAGCGUGGGGAGCAAACAGG
rnacentral:rRNA from 1 species